CAGGCAUACUCAGAGGCUUUCUCCUAGGCAUGAGGAGAAAGAAAGGUGACACUCAGAAGAAAUCUUUGGUUUCACAACAUGAUGCAAAGCAUAGGAGAGAAGAUGAUUUUCAAGAGAGAAAGCGAGAAGAGCGAGAGGGACUGUCAAUGAAGGUUUGUAUUAGGUGAUUAACUAUUUAUUCUAUUUUCAUUUAGGAUUAUUUGAUGGGAUUUGGCGACACCCAGAAAUGGACUGCAUUUG
rnacentral:misc_RNA from 1 species